rnacentral:rRNA from 1 species
AACGAACGCUGGCGGCAGGCCUAACACAUGCAAGUCGAGCGCCCCGCAAGGGGAGCGGCGGACGGGUGAGUAACACGUGGGAAUUUUCCUCAAGGUACGGAACAACUCAGGGAAACUUGGGCUAAUACCGUAUGAUGCAGAGAUGCCAAAGAUUUAUCGCCUUGGGAUAAGCCCGCGUCAGAUUAGGUAGUUGGUGGGGUAAUGGCCUACCAAGCCUGUGAUCUGUAGCUGGUCUGAGAGGACGAUCAGCCACAUUGGGACUGAGACACGGCCCAAACUCCUACGGGAGGCAGCAGUGGGGAAUCUUGCGCCAUGGACGAAAGUCUGACGCAGCCAUGCCGCGUGAAUGAUGAAGGUCUUAGGAUUGUAAAGUUCUUUAGCCUGUGACGAUGAUGACGGUAACAGGAAAAUAAGCCCCGGCUAACUUCGUGCCAGCAGCCGCAGUAA